AAAUUGAAGAGUUUGAUCAUGGCUCAGAUUGAACGCUGGCGGCAGGCCUAACACAUGCAAGUCGAACGGUAACAGGAAGCAGCUUGCUGCUUCGCUGACGAGUGGCGGACGGGUGAGUAAUGUCUGGGAAACUGCCUGAUGGAGGGGGAUAACUACUGGAAACGGUGGCUAAUACCGCAUAACGUCGCAAGACCAAAGAGGGGGACCUUCGGGCCUCUUGCCAUCAGAUGUGCCCAGAUGGGAUUAGCUUGUUGGUGAGGUAACGGCUCACCAAGGCGACGAUCCCUAGCUGGUCUGAGAGGAUGACCAGCCACACUGGAACUGAGACACGGUCCAGACUCCUACGGGAGGCAGCAGUGGGGAAUAUUGCACAAUGGGCGCAAGCCUGAUGCAGCCAUGCCGCGUGUAUGAAGAAGGCCUUCGGGUUGUAAAGUACUUUCAGCGGGGAGGAAGGUGUUGUGGUUAAUAACCGCAGCAAUUGACGUUACCCGCAGAAGAAGCACCGGCUAACUCCGUGCCAGCAGCCGCGGUAAUACGGAGGGUGCAAGCGUUAAUCGGAAUUACUGGGCGUAAAGCGCACGCAGGCGGUCU
rnacentral:rRNA from 1 species